UCCUUCGGGUGAAGUGAGGCAAUGACUAGAGUGGCGAACUGGUGAGUAACACGUAAGAAACCUGCCCUUUAGUGGGGGAUAACAUUUGGAAACAGAUGCUAAUACCGCGUAACAACAAAUCACACAUGUGAUCUGUUUGAAAGGUCCUUUUGGAUCGCUAGAGGAUGGUCUUGCGGCGUAUUAGCUUGUUGGUAGGGUAGAAGCCUACCAAGGCAAUGAUGCGUAGCCGAGUUGAGAGACUGGCCGGCCACAUUGGGACUGAGACACUGCCCAAACUCCUACGGGAGGCUGCAGUAGGGAAUUUUCCGCAAUGCACGAAAGUGUGACGGAGCGACGCCGCGUGUGUGAUGAAGGCUUUCGGGUCGUAAAGCACUGUUGUAAGGGAAGAAUAACUGAAUUCAGAGAAAGUUUU
rnacentral:rRNA from 1 species